ACUGCACCAGUCCAGAGGGUGCGCUCCUCGAGGAAGCGACCAGUUUCUGGAGCAGCAGGGAAAAAAGGCUUAAAAAUGUAGCCGAAACGCGCCUCGGGUUCUGCUCGAAGCAGCGAGCAGCGCCUCUCGCCAUUGUCCGUUGUUGUCACUUCGAAUUUCGUCACGAUGUAUUAUCGAUGUAUUUAAAUGUAUCGUUGUAUUCGUUUUAUCGUGUGUAAUGAAUAUUCCCAAGUGUCUGAUCGUAUAAUUGUUGCAUCAAUUGCUAUCACGCCUUUGGUAAAAUAACUUGAAAUGGGAUGAAUUAUAUUAUACGUAUAUUCGUAAUAUACUUGAGACCGUGAUGUAUUUGUUAUACAUGUACAUCUGCACCAUCAUUUUUCCCGAGGAGUUUACGCGGUUGUAAAUUUUUCAUCGAAUUCCAAAGUUUUUGAACGAGAAAAAGGUAAUUACCUUCUAUUGCACGUCUUUUUUCACUCACGUUCUUCGUUGUCGGUAACACGCUCGCGUUUCUGUGUUCUAAAAACCGUUGAAAUAAUCGAACCAGCUUCGAAGAUACGACCGAAGCCCUUUGAAAUCCAGUUUCAUCAGCUGAUCGACAUAAUUCCAAUCAAAUUCACAAUGGUUGCUGAAAAAUACGCCAGCGCUGAGCCCGAGCUCAAGCAGGAGCUCAAGGGGAUCGCCGAGAAAAUUGUUUCAAUCGGCAAGGGUAUCUUGGCCGCGGAUGAGUCGACCGCCACCAUCGGCAAGCGUCUUCAGGACAUCAACGUUGAAAACAACGAAGCAAAUCGCAAGGCUUACCGUCAGCUGCUUUUCACGACCGAUAAGGAGGUGAUCAGCCAGCACGUUUCGGGCGUGAUUCUCUUCCACGAGACUCUCUACCAGAAGGCCGACGACGGUACCCCGUUCGUAGAGCUUCUUCGUCAGCGCAACAUCAUCCCCGGCAUCAAGGUCGACAAGGGCGUCGUUCCCCUGUUCGGUACCAAGGACGAAUGCACCACCCAGGGUCUCGACGACCUCCAGGCACGCUGCAUCCAGUACAAAAAGGACGGAUGCGACUUCGCCAAGUGGCGCUGCGUCCUCAAGAUCACCAAGGACACACCCAGCAAACUCGCCAUCCUGGAGAACGCCAACGUCCUCGCACGCUACGCCAGCAUCUGCCAGAGCGCCCGCAUCGUUCCCAUCGUCGAGCCGGAAAUCCUUCCCGACGGUGACCACGAUCUUGCCCGUUGCCAACAGGUCACUGAGGAGGUACUCGCCGCCGUAUACAAGGCCCUCUCCGACCACCACGUUUACCUCGAGGGAACACUUUUGAAACCGAACAUGGUCACUCCCGGUCAAAGCUGCCCGAAGAAAGCUUCGCCCCAGGAAAUCGCGGCCGCGACUGUAACGGCCCUCCAGCGCACCGUGCCACCAGCAGUCACUGGUGUCACCUUCUUGAGCGGUGGACAGUCGGAGGAGGAGGCUUCGGUUAAUCUUGACGCGAUCAACAAGUUCCCCGGAAAGAAACCCUGGGCUCUGACCUUCAGCUACGGACGUGCCCUUCAGGCUUCCGUCCUCCGCGCGUGGGCCGGCAAACCGGAACAAAUCGCGGCCGGACAACAGGAACUGAUCAAGAGAGCCAAGGCGAACGGCGCAGCUUGUCAAGGCAAAUACGUUGCGGGCAGUAUUUCGAGUAAAGCUGCAGGUUCCUCGCUCUUCGUCAAAUCACACGCCUACUAAUUUUUGCGACAAGUCCUUCCGUUCCGCACCGUAACUGUAUAUCACAAGCACGCCAACAGCGACGCAGCUCAAGGAAAAUACGCCGGCGGAGUAACUGGAGCAGCGGGUGACGCUGGUCUUUUCGUAGCCAAUCAUGCGUACUAAUUUAUAAACGCUAUCAAGAACACAGUUGAUGAAUAUUACCUCGCGCAAUCAUCGCCACGACAUCCGCGGAAAAGGAAGUAAUUUAUUACGUUAAAAAUAUAGAAGCAUCUGCAUGAGAACAAACGACGAAAUGUAAGAAAAAACGGAAACAUCGAUGGUUUACAAUAACAAGAGAAAAAUAAAACAAGUAAAUGUACUGAAGGAGAAUA